GUCGAGCGAAUCUUGAGGUGCUUGCACCUCUUGGUUAGCGGCGGACGGGUGAGUAACACGUGGGCAACCUGCCUGUAAGACUGGGAUAACUUCGGGAAACCGGAGCUAAUACCGGAUAAUCCUUUUCCUCUCAUGAGGAAAAGCUGAAAGUCGGUUUACGCUGACACUUACAGAUGGGCCCGCGGCGCAUUAGCUAGUUGGUGAGGUAACGGCUCACCAAGGCGACGAUGCGUAGCCGACCUGAGAGGGUGAUCGGCCACACUGGGACUGAGACACGGCCCAGACUCCUACGGGAGGCAGCAGUAGGGAAUCUUCCGCAAUGGACGAAAGUCUGACGGAGCAACGCCGCGUGAGCGAUGAAGGCCUUCGGGUCGUAAAGCUCUGUUGUUAGGGAAGAACAAGUACCGGAGUAACUGCCGGUACCUUGACGGUACCUAACCAGAAAGCCACGGCUAACUACGUGCCAGCAGCCGCGGUAAUACGUAGGUGGCAAGCGUUGUCCGGAAUUAUUGGGCGUAAAGCGCGC
rnacentral:rRNA from 2 species